rnacentral:rRNA from 1 species
AUUAAUUAUACUUAAUUUAAUAGUUUAUAUAUCGUCGUAGGUUGAAUAUCUCAAUAGGGAAAAAAUAUUCAUAAUUUACUAUAAAUAAAAAAAAUCAGAUCAAGGUGUAGUUUAUAAUUAAGAAGAUAUGGGUUACAAUAAAUUUAUUUAAUUGGAUAUUAAUAUUAAAAAAUUAAUUGAAAUUGGAUUUGACAGUAAUAUAUUUAAAUUAAAAUAUAUGAUUUUAGCUCUAAAAUAUGUACAUAUCGCCCGUCGCUUUCAUUUAAAAUUAAGAUGAAAUAAGUCGUAACAUAGUAGAUGUACCGGAAGGUGUAUCUG